ACUUGAUAGAAGUUAGAUUGAAUUUAUUUCAUUAUACCUAAGAAUCAAUUGAUAUAACUUGAACUGUAAUUUGCCUUUUUUUUUUUUUUUUUUCCUCAUCAGAUGAAACCUUUUUACCAGGGUCAUUUCUAAUUGUAGGACUUGUGCUUGUAGAAGAAAAUAAAUGCUUUGGAGCACAACUGGGAUUUUGCUUAUAUCUAGAGUGUGAUGAAAAGGGUGAAAAAGCAGGGGAAAUGAAGGCCCUAUCACCACCUCUUCCAGUAAGGCUUGUACAACAGACUGAUUAAAUGAGAAAGGGAAAAUUAUACUAGUCUAAACAUAGUCUCCUCAUUCAAGUUUUUAACAGAGUUGCAACAAAUUCUGAGCUGCCCAGGAAUUGCCAAGAUAUGACCUUUUUAAUUCUUCAGACAAUGGGGAAAAAAGAUCAAUCUAAAAAGGCUUCAGGGGCUCCUACCAUUUUCUAAGAUGUGAAAUGGCUGCAAUGAGAAAACUGUCCAUAUCUGCAUAAUUCAUACCAGUGAAAGCAGAUCUACAGACAUUUAGUAGCAAUCAAUCACUUAUACUUGCUGUACUAUGUUAUCAAAGCAAAAGGAAAGAUGCCCAAGAGAAAUCCAUCUGACAUUUCAAAGUAGACACGGCCAAAGUAUGUUCACAAGUUUCUCAUCAAGAAUUACGAGACAUGCAUUUGCCCAUCAAAUGAACCAGACUGACAGGCAUUUCUAAAGAUACAGAUGUAAUCUAUGGGGAGAUAAAGUCAAGAUUUAUUGCAUUUUGAGGAGCGUUGAUUGGUGCUCUUUUUCUGUGGAUUUUGUUUAUUUAUUUGUUUGUUUUAAUAAACAAAUAUAUGUCAGCUUAAGAUCA
rnacentral:lncRNA from 1 species